UACGUAGGGUGCGAGCGUUGUCCGGAAUUAUUGGGCGUAAAGAGCUCGUAGGCGGUUUGUCGCGUCGGCCGUGAAAACUUGGGGCUUAACCCCAAGCCUGCGGUCGAUACGGGCAGACUUGAGUUCGGCAGGGGAGACUGGAAUUCCUGGUGUAGCGGUGAAAUGCGCAGAUAUCAGGAGGAAUACCGAUGGCGAAGGCAGGUCUCUGGGCUGACACUGACGCUCAUGCACGAAAGCGUGGGGAGCAAACAGA
rnacentral:rRNA from 1 species